AUCCAUUUGACAAGUCCCAUAUAGGACGAAACACGUGUCCUGAAU
rnacentral:hammerhead_ribozyme from 1 species